CGCGUAUGUAAUAGCUCUUCUGGAAUCGUUCCCUAAGUGAUAGCUUUUUCUCUGACUGCUUCCAGACAUGAUGUUUCUGUUUUGCCUGCUGUGAGUCCUGUUCAAGUUAGGUAACAUGAUAAAUGGAGCCAAACUUGAAGCAGAGCAUACCUUGACUGUUGAAGCAGAAGACCUUUUGUGCAAGUCAGUUAAUAAUGUCAAAGGGAAUAUUGGAUCUCCAACUGUUUCUCUGAAAAGUAUUGCAAGGAGAGAGAAGUAACUAGAAGAAUGCUUGCUACCUUUAUUAUGAAAGUCUUCUUGUUGGAUAAACCUG
ensembl:lncRNA